AACGAACGCUGGCGGCAGGCCUAAAACAUGCAAGUCGAACGCCCCGCAAGGGGAGUGGCGCACGGGUGAGUAACGCGUGGGAACGUGCCCUUCACUACGGGACAACGUCGGGAAACUGACGCUAAUACCGUAUAAUGACUCCGGUCCAAAGAUUGAUCGGUGAAGGAGCGGCCCGCGUCUGAUUAGCUAGUUGGUGAGGUAAAGGCUUACCAAGGCGACGAUCAGUAGCAGGUCUGAAAGGAUGAUCUGCCACACUGGGACUGAGACACGGCCCAGACUCCUACGGGAGGCAGCAGUUAGGAAUAUUGGACAAUGGGCGAAAGCCUGAUCCAGCCAUGCCGCGUGAGUGAUGAAGGCCCUAGGGUUGUAAAGCACUUUCGUUGGGGAUGAUAAUGACCGUACCCAAAGAAGAAGCACCGGCUAACUUCGUGCCAGCCGCCGCCGUAA
rnacentral:rRNA from 1 species